GACGAACGCUGGCGGCGUGCUUAACACAUGCAAGUCGAACGGAAAGGCCCUGGUUUUGUGGGGUGCUCGAGAGGCGAACGGGUGAGUAACACGUGAGUAACCUGCCCUUGACUUUGGGAUAACUUCAGGAAACUGGGGCUAAUACCGGAUAGGAGCUCCUGCUGCAUGGUGGGGGUUGGAAAGUUUCGGCGGUUGGGGAUGGACUCGCGGCUUAUCAGCUUGUUGGUGGGGUAGUGGCUUACCAAGGCUUUGACGGGUAGCCGGCCUGAGAGGGUGACCGGCCACAUUGGGACUGAGAUACGGCCCAGACUCCUACGGGAGGCAGCAGUGGGGAAUAUUGCACAAUGGGCGGAAGCCUGAUGCAGCAACGCCGCGUGCGGGAUGACGGCCUUCGGGUUGUAAACCGCUUUCGCCUGUGACGAAGCGUGAGUGACGGUAAUGGGUAAAGAAGCACCGGCUAACUACGUG
rnacentral:rRNA from 1 species